AGCAGCCGAGUUCGCGCCGCCGGUAGGUGCUGCCAUGCCAGGGGGCGGGAUCGUGGAGCGCCUCGCAGAACCGCACGAAAGCAAAAACAAAGCCAUCUCUCCGGAGCAGAAAUAGAACAGACGUGGCCGGGGAAAGCCAAAUAUUUGUGGCUGGACUCAGACACAUCACGCUCCAGUUUGGGUUCCAAGGUGCUUCUCUCUGGAUUUUCACCUGCCUUGCCAAAAAUGAUUGAUUACGCUGGGCCAACUGGGUGUCCGGCAAUACCCAACAAAUGACUUUGGCCCCUAACAGCAGGUCUUGGCCAGACAGAAAUCAAUAUUUCACCAUUAAAAUCUAUCAAAGAAGAGUUAAGGCACCAUCUGUCCCUGCCGCCUCUCUAUGGUGUGUGAACAUUAAAUCCGACACUUGUACUACAUGGGUAAUCAAUAUAUAGUGGUUCACAGAUCA
rnacentral:lncRNA from 1 species